UAGGGUAGAGCAUUGUUAAAUGCAAUUGGUAAUCUGGAGCUUACUGGUGCAUUUGCGGAAGCUUUGAAAAACCUUGGCCACAAUCUAGAAAAUGUGGCUUCUCAGGAGCCAGAUGCUGCUCUUGGAAAUGGGGGUUUGGGACGGCUUGCUUCCUGUUUUCUGGACUCUUUGGCAACACUAAACUACCCAGCAUGGGGCUAUGGACUUAGGUACAAGUAUGGUUUAUUUAAGCAACGGAUUACAAAAGAUGGUCAGGAGGAGGUGGCUGAAGAUUGGCUUGAAAUUGGAAGUCCAUGGGAAGUUGUGAGGAAUGAUGUUUCAUAUCCUAUCAAAUUCUAUGGAAAAGUCUCUACAGGAUCAGAUGGAAAGAGGUAUUGGAUUGGUGGAGAGGAUAUAAAGGCAGUUGCGUAUGAUGUUCCCAUACCAGGGUAUAAGACCAGAACCACAAUCAGCCUUCGACUGUGGUCUACACAGGUUCCAUCAGCGGAUUUUGAUUUAUCUGCUUUCAAUGCUGGAGAGCACACCAAAGCAUGUGAAGCCCAAGCAAACGCUGAGAAGGUAUACUUAAUCUAUUAAUUUGU